AGAUAAUUGGGCAGGCAUAUAACGAUAUGCAAACUUGAAAUCAACAUCUAUUGCAGCAAAUAACCGAGAGAGAAGACUAUAACAUUAAGGUUGUGGAAUCCAAGUUUGUAUUUGAAGCCAAGUUGAUACAAGGUCAUUAAGUUUCAAGCUUCUUUAAUUAAGUUUGUGUUUCUUGAACUAGAAUUGUAAUGACCAACUAUAUGUAUGUUCAAGGAUAUAUACGCAAUUUGUUAGUUCUUUGAUUGAAA